UACCCUGGUAGUCCAUGCUGUAAACAAUGUCGAUUUGAAGGUUGUAGCCUUGAGCUAUAGCCUUCGAAGCUAACGCAUUAAAUCGACCGCCUGGGGAGUACGACCGCAAGGUUAAAACUCAAAUGAAUUGACGGGGGCUCGCACAAUCGGUGGAGCAUGUGGUUUAAUUCGAUGAUACGCGAGGAACCUUACCAAGACUUAAAUGUACUACGAAUAAAUUGGAAACAAUUUAGUCUAGCGACGGAGUACAAGGUGCUGCAUGGUUGUCGUCAGCUCGUGCCGUGAGGUGCAAGGUUAAGUCCUUAAACGAGCGCAACCCUUAUUAUUAGUUGCCAUCGAGUAGUGUCGGGGACUCUAAUAAGACUGCCGGCGUAAGCCGAGAGGAAGGCGGGGACGACGUCAAAUCAUCACGGCCCUUACGUCUUGGGC
rnacentral:rRNA from 1 species